UGUUUGGUGUUCAUCUGCAGACUUGGACAGGGUGCUUUCUACUCCCUUGUCCAAGUCACUAAUGAAGAUAAUGAAUAGUACCAAUCCCAGGACAGAUCCUUGGGGGACUCUGCUGCCUACAAUUCUCUAGGUAGAAACUGACUCAUCUACCACCACUCUGGGUACAUCCCAUAAGCCA